GAGGCAUUUAUGGAAAUGAAAUAAUUGAGGAUUUUAGGCAUUUCAGAAGCAAAAAAAAACCCGCCUCACACACGAAUACGAUAUAUGAUGAAUGCAGAGUCCAAAAGCUGAGUCGGCCAUUGUACACAAUCUCAACUUUUCCAUUAGAUGUUGCGGAGGAAAUCCUCCAUCGACUACCCGUUUAUCCUGUUUUACGUUGUAGGUGUGUAUCAAAAGCUUGGCUGAAUCUUAUUUAUACUCCUCAAUUUGCUAAAUUGCAUUUCAUUUUUUCUCUCAAACCCCAUUGCUUAAUCUUUAGAAAAGUUGAUUAUUAUGGAUAUGGAAAUAGUUGCUUUUACUCUCUACUCUUUGAUUCACUCAAUUCCCGAGUUGUUACUCCCAAAGAAUUGACAAACCCUUUAAUUUCUUCUCAAUUUAAUACCAACAUACUUGGUUCUUGUAAUGGGUUGUUGUUGAUAUCAAAUACUCUUGAUGAAAUUGCUUUAUGGAAUCGCUCAACUGGAAAAUACAACUACCAUCUCUAGGGAUUGCUAGAAAUGAUGAAGUUAGGGUUAAUUUUUGAUUUGGGUAUGAUGUUAUCAAUGAUGACUAUAAGGUUGUUAGAAUUGUUCAGUUUCCCGGUUCUGAAAAGGGUUCUUUUCAAUCUCAUGUUAUGAAUUAUAGUUUGAAAUCAAGUUGUUGGAGCCGGGUUGAUGAACAACUUCCUCCUUAUCACCUUAAGUAUGUAGAUCUACCAGGUACAUAUCUAAAUGGUUCAUUGCAUUGGGUUGUUACUGCAUAUAUCUUGAGGAUGCCUGUUGAUACAUUUGAAUCCCUAAUUGUUGCUUCUACUUGCAACAGAAAAGUGGCUACUUGUACCGCGAACCCCUUUUACUUAUAUGAAUUGCAUUCUGAAUUUAGCCGUAUUAGAAAGCUCCCUUUGCACAUAUAAAACCUACAUGAUAGAUUCUUAUGGUGAUUGGGGGAAUGUGGAUCUUUUUAUGGACCAUGUGGACAUUUGGGUUAUGAAGGAAUAUGGAGUUAAGGACUCGUGGACUAUGGUUGCUUCACUGGACGAACCAAAUAAGCAAAAUUGGCCAUACUAUGGUUCCACUUGAAUUUUCAAAAGAUAGAAAGAAAAUUCUUGUGGAACAAAUAAUAACCGAUUCCGUUGGAAUACUAUUAAUGAUGACUCUACAAAGAUUGUUGAUACUGAAAUUGGGGCUUACGUGGCUUUCUACAUUUCAAUAGCUAUGUUUAUUUCAGAAGCCUUGUUCAGCUCCAUUCCAAUGAUGAGGAAAAGGAUCUGAAUAAACAAUAUAAUCAAUAUAAAGGAGGAAACACGAAAGCCUUAAAGAAGAGGCACAUUUAUACUGAAGAAGAGCACAGUUGGUGUUUUGGACUUCCAACUCUAGUUAUCCCUCCUACUCUUUUGAUGUAAAUAGUUGUAGUACAUACUUAUGUUUUGAUAUGGACCACAAUCUAUGCUUUGAAUUUCUUACUUUUGUAAUUGUAUUUAGUCAAGUGAAUGCUUCACUCCACUUCUUGUCACAAGAUGGAUGAAUAACUGGACCUUGAAAAUAUGUCAUGUCAAUAUUAUAUUUCUAUUUCAUA